rnacentral:rRNA from 1 species
UACGAAGGGGGGCUAGCGUUGCUCGGAAUCACUGGGCGUAAAGCGCACGUAGGCGGAUUGUUAAGUCAGGGGUGAAAUCCCGGAGCUCAACUCCGGAACUGCCCUUGAAACUGCAGUGCUAGAAUCUUGGAGAGGCGAGUGGAAUUCCGAGUGUAGAGGUGAAAUUCGUAGAUAUUCGGAAGAACACCAGUGGCGAAGGCGACUCGCUGGACAAGUAUUGACGCUGAGGUGCGAAAGCGUGGGGAGCAAACAGG